UACGUAGGAGGCGAGCGUUGUCCGGAAUUACUGGGCGUAAAGGGCGCGUAGGCGGCUCUGCACGUCCGUUGUGAAAUCGCCCGGCUCAACUGGGCGGGGUCAGCGGAUACGGCGGAGCUUGAGCAAGCUAGGGGGCAAUGGAAUUCCCGGUGUAGUGGUGGAAUGCGUAGAUAUCAGGAGGAACACCGGUGGCGAAGGCGGGUCUCUGGGCCGUUACUGACGCUGAGGAGCGAAAGCGUGGGGAGCGAACAGG
rnacentral:rRNA from 1 species